rnacentral:miRNA from 1 species
CUUUCCUGUAGGAGCCAAGAAGA